UACAGAGGUCCCAAGCGUUGUUCGGAUUCAUUGGGCGUAAAGGGUGCGUAGGCCGCACGGUAAGUCAGAGGUGAAAUCUCGGAGCUUAACUCCGAAACUGCAUUCGAUACUGCCGUGCUUGAGGACUGGAGAGGAGACUGGAAUUUACGGUGUAGCGGUGAAAUGCGUAGAUAUCGUAGGGAAGACCAGUGGCGAAGGCGGGUCUCUGGACAGUUCCUGACGCUGAGGCACGAAGGUCAGGGGAGCAAACGGG
rnacentral:rRNA from 1 species